ACGCUCGACACCUACGGAGGCAGCAGGUAGGGAAUCUUCCACAAUGGGCGCAAGCCUGAUGGAGCAACACCGCGUGAGUGAAGAAGGGUUUCGGCUCGUAAAGCUCUAGUUGUUGGAGAAGAACGUGCGUGAGAGUAACUGUUCACGCAGUGACGGUAUCCAACCAGAAAGUCACGGCUAACUACGUGCUAGCAGCCGCGGUAAUCUGAGCGGGCUGGCAAGGC
rnacentral:rRNA from 1 species